CAGCAUGGUCUUAGCUUGCUAAGGCCGAUGGCGACCGGCGCACGGGUGAGUAACGCGUAUCCAACCUGCCUUACACUCUUGGACAGCCUUCUGAAAGGGAGAUUAAUACAAGAUGUUAUCAUGAGUAAGCAUUUUCGCAUGAUUAAAGGUUUACCGGUGUAAGAUGGGGAUGCGUUCCAUUAGAUAGUAGGCGGGGUAACGGCCCACCAAACCUUCGAUGGAUAGGGGUUCUGAGAGGAAGGUCCCCACAUUGGGACUGAGAUACGGCCCAGACUCC
rnacentral:rRNA from 1 species